GAUGAACGCUGGCGGCGUGCCUAAUACAUGCAAGUCGAGCGAACAGAUGAGGAGCUUGCUCCUCUGACGUUAGCGGCGGACGGGUGAGUAACACGUGGAUAACCUACCUAUAAGACUGGGAUAACUUCGGGAAACCGGAGCUAAUAUCGGUCAAUAUAUUGAACCGCAUGGUUCAAUAGUGAAAGACGGUUUUGCUGUCACUAAUAGAUGGAUCCGCGCCGCAUUAGCUAGUUGGUAAGGUAAAGGCUUACCAAGGCGACGAUGCGUAGCCGACCUGAGAGGGUGAUCAGCCACACUGGAACUGAGACACGGUCCAGACUCCUACGGGAGGCAGCAGUGGGGAAUAUUGCGCAAUGGGCGAAAGCCUGACGGAGCAACGCCGCGUGAGUGAUGAAGGUCUUCGGAUCGUAAAACUCUGUUAGUAGGGAAGAACAAAUGUGUGAGUAACUAUGCACGUCUUGACGGUACCUAAUCAGAAAGCAACGGCUAACUACGUG
rnacentral:rRNA from 1 species